rnacentral:rRNA from 1 species
GACGAACGCUGGCGGCGUGCCUAACACAUGCAAGUCGAACGAGGUCCAUCCUUCGAGAGAAGACCUAGUGGCGAACGGGUGAGUAACACGUGAAGAACCUGCCCCGAAGACCGGGAUAACCCUCCGAAAGGAGAGCUAAUACCGGAUACCCCCACGAACCGCAUGGUUUGGUGAGGAAAUGGAUUCCGCUUCGGGAGGGCUUCGCGGCCUAUCAGCUAGUUGGUGGGGUAACGGCCACCAAGGCAUCGACGGGUAGCUGGUCUGAGAGGACGAUCAGCCACACUGGGACUGAGACACGGCCCAGACUCCUACGGGAGGCAGCAGUGGGGAAUCUUGCGCAAUGGGCGAAAGCCUGACGCAGCAACGCCGCGUGGGGGAUGAAGGCUCUCGGGUUGUAAACCCCUUUCAGCAGGGACGAAUCAAGACGGUACCUGCAGAAGAAGCCCCGGCUAACUACGUAGCCAGCAGCCGCGGUAAU